UACGUAGAAGACGAGGUGUUAUUCAUCUUUAAACAGGUUUAAAGGGGUACCUAAGACGGAAAAUCAAGCCAUAGUAGGGACUAAUUUUCUAGAGUUUUAUAAGGUGAAGAUCGAAUUACCUGAGGAGCGAUGGAAUGCAUUGAUACAGGUAAGACGGGAUAGCAGCGAAGGCAAUCUUCUAUGUAAUAACUGACGUUGAGGACGAA
rnacentral:rRNA from 1 species